GGUAAAAAGAAAAAAAUCAGUGAAAUGGCGAAUAACUUAGAAAGACACAUCUAGGAAAUAAAUAUAUAUGAAAAUAUAUAUAUAUAUGUAUAUAUAUAUAUACAUAUAUAUAUAUAUAUAUAUACAUUUAUGUUUUCUUUUCAUUUUUUCCUGUGUGAUCAAAUUCAAAAUUACUCACACAUUCCAGGCAGGCACUAUACCAGUGAGCUACACCUCUAGCCCCUAGAUUUUAGUGACUAUGAAGAAAGGAGAAAGAAUCAAGUCCUGGAGCUGGGCAUUGGUGGUGCAUGACUUUAAUCCCAGCACUCGGGAGGCAGAGGCAGGCGGAUCUCUGUGAGUUUGAGACCAGCCUGGACUAUGUGAGAUCUUGUCUCAAAAAACAAACCCCCAACAAAAGAUAUUGAGACUUCUAGCAUAGUUUUUCCUUCUCUCCUGGAUCAUUCCUUCUGGGGUAAGCCUGCUGACUCUAUCCAGGGACUAUUAGGGAGUGGAGCCAUUGACCAAGCCACCAAAGAACCAAGACCUUUACACUGAAGACCCAUGGGUGAGGCUGAAAACCAACAAUCCAGCCCCAUGACAUUUUCAGAAGGCCAAAGCACCAGGCAGCAUCCUGAGCAACGUCAUGAGAGAGUGCCCAGAUGACAAGUCAAGUUUCUUGACUUCCAGACAUUGGGUGAGAUAAUCAUUUCCUUUCCAGAUUGAUUAAAAAGAUAAACAGAAGCAAAGCCAAAACCAUAGACUUGAAGAAACAACAAUAAAAAGGAGGAAGCCCAAAAUAGAAACUAAGAUUAAAGUCAACAGUGAAAAUGAUUGCUACUAAAAGGCGAAGGAUCGUAAAUCAUAGGACAAUGAGUUGUAUAAUAUGUUACCAAUGUAGACAUUUAGAAUCCAAAGGUCAAUAAAGGAUUAACAUAGGGAAAUGAACAAAGCUAAGUGCAAUAGCAUACGCCUUUACUCCCAGAAUUUGAGGGGCAGAGGCAGGCAGGUCUCUGUGAAUUUUAGACCAGCCUGGGCUAAGUAGUGAGACCCAAUCUUGAAAGAAAGAAAACAGGCAAAGACAAACUAAGCUUACAGGAAAAGCAAGCAAGGAUAGCAAAAUUAGUGUUAGACAAAGUAGAACUUGAGAUGGAAAGAUGCACUAAGGAGAGGAGAGUUACUACACAGAAAAAAUAUCAGCAAUGAUAAAAAUAUAAUAAAUUAGCUAAAUACAUAGUAUCAUUGAUUGGACUAUAAUGAGAAAGUGAUAAAAGUAUAAUUAGAGUGAAAGAUUUUUAACUCACUCACACCAUCGAUGAUCAAACAGACAAUGGAUAAUGCAGGGAGCACUGACUUAGUAUAAUUUGUAACAUAGACCAUUAUCCCAGAUUUUAUAUUCUGCAAAUAAUGACUACACAUUUGUUCAUGUGUAUAAAUUGGAGGUGGAAAAAAAGAGGUUACAGAGAAAAUCUCAUUAAAGGCAAGAAAGAAAACAUCUUAUGACUCCUGUUUUCACUCUACAAUUACACACUGAUAGAAUAAAUGGAUUCUUGGAAACAAUCUUCACAAUCCUAUACAAUAAGUAAGUUCCUCACAAAAAAGAGCUUAAAAAGAAAAAAAGUAUGGUGGUGGGGUUAAAAGAGGCAGUAAGAGGGGAAAGAAAAUGUAAAAGAGAAUGCUGGGAAUAGAGACGGAGCUCAGCAGCUAAGAGCAUUUGCUAUUUUUGCAGACAACCCAGGCUCUAUCCCAUCAUGUAAGGCUAUCUGUAAUCCAGUUCUAAGGGAUCCAAUGCCCUCUUCUGGUUUCCAAGGGCACCAGACAAACAUGUGGUUCACAGACAAACAUGCACAUAAAACAAAAAUACAGAAAUCUUUAAAAAGUGAGUGUUUGUUAAGCUGUGAGCCUAUGGUGAGUGUUAGUAAGUGCUACUUGUCACCUAGUUAAAGAUUAUAAUGAGGUCCAGCAAGAUGGCUCAAUGGGUGAAAGCACCUGCCACCCAGUACUCAUGCCCCACAUACACAAAAUAAAUAAUGUGAAAAUGUUUGUAAAGGCUGGGCGUUGGUGGCGCAUGCCUUUAAUCUCGGCACUCGGGAGGCAGAGGCAGGCGGAUCUCCAAAUUUGAGGUCAGCCUGAUUUACAGAGUGAACUCCAGGACAGCCAGGGUUACACAGAGAAACCCUGUUCUGAAAAAAAAAAAUUCUUUUAAAUAAAAAUAAAGAAUCAAACUAAAUCUUUGUGGUAAGUCAAAUCACUAUUUUGAAGAAAAUAUCAUUUUAAAUGGUACUAAAUAUUCUAAAUGUUUGUUUGUUUGUUUGUUUGUUUGUUUGUACAGACAUGUAUGCCAUGGCACAUGUAAAGAGGUCAGGAGAACUUGAAAGAAGCCAUCUUUUCCUGGGUUCCAAACUCAGGCUGCCAGGCAUGGCCCACUGAACCAUCUUGCUGGCCUAGUAUCACUUUUAAAAGAAAUUGCAAUUAAAGUAUCAGUAGCCUCAUGUAAGCAGUGCAUGCCUGUACCUGGUACUUGGGUGUCAGAAGACAGAGGACCAAGAGUUCAAGGUCACUCUCAGCUAUCUAGGCCAGUCUAGACUACAAAAAGUCUGUCUCAAAACAAACACUGACAACAAAAUCCCUUUAAAAAGUAGAAGAAUGGGAAUUCUUUAGACCAAGAUAAAACUAAUUUGAAAAUAAAAAUGAUUUGAUUGUGUAAACAUUAGGGAACAGACAAGCCUCCAAAAAAAUCUAAUUGGAAAGAGAAAAUAUAUGCAAAAUAUCUGAAACAAGGAGGUAAAUAAUAUACAAACACAUUUGAAAAAGUUUCCUCUCCAAGGGCAUUUUUUUUUCUUCCACUGUCUUUCAUUUUGAAAGACCCCUUCAAAACCAAACAAUUUCUGGAAAUCAAAUAUAUUUCCAGAUCAUAGAUAAAAUACAAAAAUUAAAAAAAAAAACAGAUAAAUGCACUACAAAGCUUACAUUUCUCUGAGUGUUGUGUGUGGACUAAAUACUAGAACCGUGUGCCCAGAUCAACCAAAGAAUUACUGGAUUUUCGAGUCUUUAACGUGUUCAUGCGAUAAUGUGAUAAAAAAGGAAAGGCUGGAAAAGCUUUGGCUGUGUUACUCCUCUCCAGGGGAUUAUUGCCUGCUGACUGUCUGAGCUUCCGACUUUUAAUUCAUGUGUUUAAGCUUUGAGACCUCUCACAGUGUAGCCCAGGCUGAACUCGCGCUGACUCCUCCCGCCUCUGCCUCCCUAGAGGUGGGAUUGAGGUGUUCAUGACCGUGCGGGCCGUUUUAGGAAGAAGGAAAACAUGAAAACCUGAAGAUGCUUCCUGAGCCUCCCCUCCCUGCCGACCCAGGGUCUUGAACAAGCUAGGUGAGCACUCUACAGCGCAUCUGUAUCUCCAGUUCAUAAUCUUUUACAAUUACUGAAGAUCUUUUAGGCUGGGCCUCUGUUUUACCAUUUACAGUUGGGCACACAUAAAAAGUAAAAAUUAGUGGGGGACGGGUGGGGGGAGUGCUGAAGGUAUGCCGUGAACCCUCUUCUGUUUAUCGAACUCCUCUGCUCAUUGUUUGUGCUACUAGGAAUAUUAUAAAUAUAUUCUUUCUUUUAUUAAUUUUUUUUUCAGCAGAGCAUAGUGAAAAACACAUCUUUAAUCCCAGCAAUCUGGAAUCAGAGGCAGAAGGAUCUCUGUCAGUUCGAGGCUAACUUGGUCUGCAUAGUUCCAGGACAGUCAAAGCUACAUAGUGAGACUCUGUCUUAAAAAAAAAUUUUUUUUGCAUGUGUGAAAUACAUGUAUGUGUUCACAUGUUUAGGAGCACAGGUAUGUGAGUAUGCACAGGUAUACCCAUAUAUGUGGAGGCCCAAAGUUGAGGUUGUGUGUUGCCCUCAGUUGCUCUCUACUUUUUAUUAAGUCACAGUCUCUUGCUGAACUGGAGCUCACCAAUUCUAGACAGUGUGACUACCCAGCUUGCUCCAGGGAUCCUUGGUUUCUGCUUCUGGAGAACUGGGAUUACAGAUGGGCUAUCACGCCUCUCCAGUGUUUCCUGUGAGCUCUAAGGGUCCCAACUGUGGUCCUCACUUUUGCAUCACAAGCACUUUAUCCUCUGAGCCCUCUUCAGCCACAGUGAUGUAUUAUUAAAACAGCCCUGAAGGAGUAAUAAUUGAAUAAAUAAUGAUUAAUGAUGUUUUAGAACUAAAGAAAAAAAUUCAAUUUAAAGCUAGCCUGGGCUGCAAAGGAAAUUCCAGGCCAACCAGGGGGGAGAGAGAGAGAGAGAGAGAGAGAGAGAGAGAGAGAGAGAGAGAGAGAGAGGGAGAGAGAGAGAGAGAGAGAGAGAGAGGGAAAAAUCAAUUCAUUGGUGGAAGAAAUCUAAUUAAUUUCAAGCACAAUAAAUUAAAAGCAGUAUCUAGGCCUGUUAUGAAAAAAACUACAGAACAGAAGCAAAAACAAGCAAAACAAAACAAUAAAUAAAUAAAAUAUAACAGAAUAAUGAUGGGUGUGAGAGUUCAUGUCUGUAAGCAUACUUUUGAGACUAAGACAGAAGGAUUGUGAUUUCUGAGGCAAGGAGUUUAUUGGGGUGCACAAGGGGAGUAUCUAGGGGUAUGCAACAGUCUCAGGAUUGGUUCACUUCUGUGACCUGUUCUGUGUUGAUUGGUUAACUGGUUGCUAUGGCCUCCCAGGGCAGUUGCUAUGCUCUGCACAUCCUUGCAACUUUUACUGUAAAGCAUGUCCAGAACCUGCCAGCUAACUUCUGAUUGGUUCCUUGCCACUUGGAGGGUAUCUGACCUCCUAGUGACUGGGAGGAGGGGCAAGGUCAGGAAGCCCAGCACAUUUUGCUGAGUGAGAGGCCUAUAUCUUGCUGGGUCUUUUCUGCAGCCUGUCAUGGCUGCUAAAGCAGGGGGCUGGGUGAGGGUCUGGUCCCUUCAAUAAAAACAAAUGCAGGCCAGGCGUUGGUGGCACACUCCUUUAAUCCCAGCUGUACUUGAUGAACUUGUGUAGCACCAGAUGUGUAGGCUUGCUGUGUCAGAUUCUGCCAAAUGCUUUACUUUCAUUAACUAGUCCUGAUGAGGAAACCUGCCCCAUCUUCUUAACAGUUCCAACAUUGUUCCAAGUCUCUUCUGAUGGUCAAAGUAAACUUGCCUGUGAGCCUUUGUAAAAAUAAAACUAGCUAGCUGGGUGGUGGUGGCACAUGUCUUUAAUCCCAGCACUUAGGAGGCAGAGGCAGGUGGAUCUCUGUGAGUUCAUGGCCAGCCCGGUCUACAGAGUGCCAUGACAGCUGGGGCUACACAGAGAAAC
rnacentral:lncRNA from 1 species